UACAGAGGGUGCGAGCGUUAAUCGGAAUUACUGGGCGUAAAGCGUACGUAGGUGGAUAUUUAAGUCGGAUGUGAAAUCCCUGGGCUUAACCUGGGAAUUGCCUCCGAUACUGGAUAUCUAGAGUAUGGUAGAGGAUAGUGGAAUUUCCGGUGUAGCGGUGAAAUGCGUAGAUAUCGGAAGGAACACCAGUGGCGAAAGCGGCUAUCUGGACCAAUACUGACACUUAGGUACGAAAGCGUGGGGAGCAAACAGG
rnacentral:rRNA from 1 species